rnacentral:rRNA from 1 species
GAUGAACGCUGGCGGCGUGCCUAAUACAUGCAAGUCGAGCGAACGGACGAGAAGCUUGCUUCUCUGAUGUUAGCGGCGGACGGGUGAGUAACACGUGGAUAACCUACCUAUAAGACUGGGAUAACUUCGGGAAACCAGAGCUAAUACCGGAUAAUAUUUUGAACCGCAUGGUUCAAAAGUGAAAGACGGUCUUGCUGUCACUUAUAGAUGGAUCCGCGCUGCAUUAGCUAGUUGGUAAGGUAACGGCUUACCAAGGCAACGAUGCAUAGCCGACCUGAGAGGGUGAUCGGCCACACUGGAACUGAGACACGGUCCAGACUCCUACGGGAGGCAGCAGUAGGGAAUCUUCCGCAAUGGGCGAAAGCCUGACGGAGCAACGCCGCGUGAGUGAUGAAGGUCUUCGGAUCGUAAAACUCUGUUAUUAGGGAAGAACAUAUGUGUAAGUAACUGUGCACAUCUUGACGGUACCUAAUCAGAAAGCCACGGCUAACUACGUGCCAGCAGCCGCGGUAAUACGUAGGUGGCAAGCGUUAUCCGGAAUUAUUGGGCGUAAAGCGCGCGUAGGCGGUUUUUUAAGUCUGAUGUGAAAGCCCACGGCUCAACCGUGGAGGGUCAUUGGAAACUGGAAAACUUGAGUGCAGAAGAGGAAAGUGGAAUUCCAUGUGUAGCGGUGAAAUGCGCAGAGAUAUGGAGGAACACCAGUGGCGAAGGCGACUUUCUGGUCUGUAACUGACGCUGAUGUGCGAAAGCGUGGGGAUCAAACAGGAUUAGAUACCCUGGCAGUCCACGCCGUAAACGAUGAGUGCUAAGUGUUAGGGGGUUUCCGCCCCUUAGUGCUGCAGCUAACGCAUUAAGCACUCCGCCUGGGGAGUACGACCGCAAGGUUGAAACUCAAAGGAAUUGACGGGGACCCGCACAAGCGGUGGAGCAUGUGGUUUAAUUCGAAGCAACGCGAAGAACCUUACCAAAUCUUGACAUCCUUUGACAACUCUAGAGAUAGAGCUUUCCCCUUCGGGGGACAAAGUGACAGGUGGUGCAUGGUUGUCGUCAGCUCGUGUCGUGAGAUGUUGGGUUAAGUCCCGCAACGAGCGCAACCCUUAAGCUUAGUUGCCAUCAUUAAGUUGGGCACUCUAAGUUGACUGCCGGUGACAAACCGGAGGAAGGUGGGGAUGACGUCAAAUCAUCAUGCCCCUUAUGAUUUGGGCUACACACGUGCUACAAUGGACAAUACAAAGGGCAGCGAAACCGCGAGGUCAAGCAAAUCCCAUAAAGUUGUUCUCAGUUCGGAUUGUAGUCUGCAACUCGACUACAUGAAGCUGGAAUCGCUAGUAAUCGUAGAUCAGCAUGCUACGGUGAAUACGUUCCCGGGUCU